rnacentral:lncRNA from 10 species
CUGGAAUGCAAUGGCAUGAACACAGCUCACUGCAGCCACAACUUCCCGUGAUCAAUCAAGUGAUUCUCCUACCUCAGCCUCCCGAGCAGCUGGGACUACAGCUUCUUCAGAUUCUACAGAGACCAUGACUGUGGGCAAGUCAAAAAAUCUCAGUGUUUCUGUCUCUAAAAGAAUCACAAUUCUAUCAAUCUGUUUUGCCUGCUCCUCUUGACUGCCAAUGAUGGAGGGAACAUCUACACUCCUAAAGGUUCUUCCCAGAGGAGGGAGCUCCAGCCUAGUAUGACAAUCAUGGCUCCUCUCCACACCUUUACUCAUGAAUCCCCUUGAGAGGGUUAGGAGAGUCCUGAAGUGGUCUAGAACCUUUCGUGAAUGGGUGGGAUCUCAUCCAAGACACCACAUUACAUUUAGUCAUGAUGUCUCCUUACGGCUCUCUACACUGUGACAGUUUCUCAGAAUUUCCUUGUUUUUGAUGACUUUGAGAGUUUUGAAAAGCAGCAGUCAUGUAUUUUGUAGAAUGUCCUUCAAUUUGUGAUUUUCUGAUGUUAAACAAGUGUUAUGGGUUUCUGGGAGGAAGACUACAGAGGUAAAGUGUCAUUCUCAUCAUAUCAUAUCAAAGAUACAUGCUAACAUCAUAACUUAUCAUUGAUGGUGUUAAUCUUGGCCACCUGUCAAUAUCCUCUGCUUUAAAGUUAUUUUCCCCCCUCUCUCUUUUACAUAUUGUACUGUUUAGAAGAAAGUCAACAUGCAAAGCCCAUACUUGUAGAAUGGGAAGUUAAGAUCCACCUUCUUGAGGGAAGAAUAUCUAUAUAAUUAUUUGGAAUUCUCGUGUAAAAAGAUUUUUCUAUUCUCUCCUCUUCAUUUAUUCAAUAUUAGUUUGUGUUACUAUGAACUCAUGCGUAUUUAUUUUAUAAUUUGGGUUAUAAUCCAAUUCUACAAUAUUUAUUUUGUUGUUGAAAUUGUUCUACCUUUUGCCAUUGUGAGCUCUUUCUGUUGGCUGCUAGGUUCCUCUCAAAUACCCCUUUUUGUUGUUUGUUUAUUGUAGAGUUUUGUUCUAUUUUGUUUUGUUUGAGCACUUCUUUACUUGCUGGCUCAUCUUGUAUCCAUGCACCAACUCUAGAAUCAGGCAUUUCUUCAAAGAGCCCUAGUUGCUUUUAUUAGAGAAUGGAAUUAGAAACCAAAAUCUGAGCACUGAGAGUGCUUGCUGCUUCUGGGGUAUCAUUACUUCUAGGCUUUCUUAGUGGACAGAGCUAAGAAAUAUUUGUAUGUAUACUAACUUGUAUAUACAAACAUAUCUAUACAUCUAUGUUCAUCUAUAUCUCUAUUAAGCUAAACAUGAGUUUAUAUUAAUGUUUUUGACACUUGUUCAAUACCACAUAAAUAAUUCUAGCUUCCCUUCUUGCUUUCUGUAAUCUCCCACUCCAACAAUGGUGAGUUCCUACCAUCUGCCCUCCAAUUACUUACAUGUUCAAUCCCAGUAUGCAUGUACAAUGAUUCAGAAUUAUUAACCAAUACCCCCAUGGGAAGUGACUAUAAACUAGAGUGUUUAUUUGCAGUUCCUUUUGUCUUUAAUCUUAUAGCCUCUACUCAUUUUCAAUAUUAUUUAGGUAUAUACCCUUUCCUCCCACUCCUUCUGGAGGGUUAUAUUAUACAUUUGUAAGGCAGUUUGAUUCUUUUGUUACAGUCUGUAUUCCAUUGUAGGAUCCUCGUAUUUCUUAAUUGUGAUUUUAAAAAACCUCCCACAUUUUAAGUCUCACUUUUUGUGUUGUAAUAUUCUUUGGGUUUUAGUAAAGGCAUGGUGCUAUGUAUCCACCAUUAUAGUAUCUAUACAGAAUAGUUUUACCAUCCUAAAAAUAUUCAUUAUGCUUCACCUAUUCAACUCUCCCUUCUCUUCAAGGCCCUGCUACCGACCAUUGAUUUGUUUUCUGUUUCUAUAGUUUUGCCUUUCUCUAGACUGUCAUAUAAGUAGAAUCAGACAGGAUAUAGUCUUUUCAGACUGGUUUAUUUGACUUAGCAAUAAGUAUUUAAGAUUCAUCAAUCUUGUUGCAUGGAUUCAUAGCUCAUUUUUUUAUUGCUGAAUAAUAUUCCAUUAUAUGGACAUGCUAUUGUUUAUUUAUCUGUUCACCACUUAAAAGACAUCUUGGUUGCUUCUAGUCUUCUGCAUUGAUGAUUCAGCUGCUAGAAACUUUUGAGUGGAGAUUUUUGUGUGAAGAUAAAUUUUCAGUUCAUUUGGGUAAAUACCAAGGAACACAACUGCUUGAUGAUAUGGUAAGAGUAUGUUUAGUUUUAUGCGAAAUUGUCAAACUAUAUUCCAAACUGGAUGUACCAUUGUGCAUCCCCACCAGCAAGGAAUGAGAGUUCCUAUUUCUCCACAUCUUUGCCAGCAAUUGGUAUUAUCAGGUUUUUUUAGCCAUUUAAAUGCAUAUGUAGUACUAUCUCAUUUUUAAUUUGUAUUUUCCUAAUGACAUAUGAAACUGAGCAUCAUUUCAUAUGCUUAUUAUAUGCCAUCUGUAUAUCUUUUUUGAUGAAGUGUUUGUUCCUAUGUUUUGUUCAUUUUUCACUGGGUUGGUGAUAUGGUUUGGCUGUGUCCCCACCCAAAUCUCAUCUUGAAUUGUAACUCCCACAGUUCCCACAUGUCAUGGGAGGAACCCAAUGGGAGGUGAUUGAAUUAAGGGGGUGGGUCUUUCCUGCACUGUUUUCUUGAUAGUGAAUGAGUCUCACAAGGUCUGAUGGUUUUAAAAGCGGGAGUUUCCCUGCACAAGCUCUCUAUUUUGCAUGCCACCAUCCACAUGAGAUAUGACUUGCUCAUCCUUGCCUUCUGGCAUGAUGGUGAGGCCUCCCCAGCCAUGUGGAACUGUAAGUCCAUUAAACCUCUUUUUCUUCCAAGUCUCAGGUAUGUCUUUAUCAGCAGCAUGAAAAUGGACUAAUACAGUAAAUUGGUACCAGUAGAAUGGGGUGCUGCUGUAGACACCCGAAAAUGUGGAAGCAACUUUGGAACUGGAUAACAGACAGAGGUUGGAAGAGUUUGGAGGGCUCAGAAGAAGACAGGAAAAUGUGGGAAAGUUUGGAACUCCCUAGAGACUUUUUGCAUGGCUUUGACCAAAAUGCUGAGAGCGAUACGGACAAUACAGUCUAGGCUGAGGUAGUCUCAGAUGGAAAUGAAGGGCUCGUUGGGAACUGGAGCAAAGGUGACUCUUGUUUUAGCAAAAAGAGUGGUGACAUUUUGCCUCUGCCUUAGAGAUUCGUGGAACUUGAACUUGAGAGAGAUUUAGGGUAUCUGGCAGAAGAAAUUUCUAAGCAACGAAGCAUUCAAGAGGUGACUUGGGUGCUGUUAAAGGCAUUCAGUUUUAUAAGGGAAGCAGAGCAUAAAAGAUUGGAAAAUUUACCACCUGACAAUGCAAUAGAAAAGAAAAUCCCAUUUUCUGAAAUGAAAUUCAAGCUGGCUGCAGAAAUGUGGAUAAGUAAUGAGAAGCCAAAUAUUAAUCACCAAGACAAUGGGGAAAAUGUCUACAGAGCAUGUCAGAGGUCUUCAUGGCAGCCCCUCGCAUCACAAGCCUGGAGGCCUAGGAGGUGAAUGUGGUUUUGUGGGCUGGGCCCAGGGUCCCGGUGUUGUGUGCAGUCUAGGUAUUUUGUGCCCUGCAUCCCAGCCACUCCAGCCGUGACUAAAAGGGAUGAAGGUACAGCUCAAGCUAUGGCUUCAGAGGGUGGAAGCCCCAAGCCUUGGCAGCUUCCAUGUGGUAUUGAGCCUGUGAGUGCACAGAUGUCAAGAACUGAGGUAUGAGAACCUCCCCCUAGAUUUUAGAGGAUGUAUGGUAACGCCUGGAUGCCCAGCCAGAAGUUUGCUGCAGGGGCAGGGCCAUCAUGGAGAAGCUCUGCUAGGGCAAUGCAGAAGGGAAAUGUGGGGUGGGAGCCCCCACACAGAGUCCCUACUGGGGCACUGCCUAGUGGAGCCUUGAGAAGAGGACCACCAUCCUCCAGACCCCAGAAUGGUAGAUCCACUGACAGCUUGCACCAUGUGCCAGGAAAAGCCAUAGACACUCACUGCCAACCCAUGAAAGCAGCCAGGAGGGAGGCUAUACCCUGAAAAGCCACAGGGGUGGAGCUGUCCAAGACCAUGGGAACCCACCUCUUGCAUCAGUGUGACCCGGAUGCAAGAUACGGAGUGAAAAGAGAUCAUUUUUGAGUUUUAAAAUUUGACUGCCCUGCUGGAUUUUGGACUUGCAUGGGGCCUGUAGCCCCUUUGUUUUGGCCAAUUUCUCCCAUUUGGAUCAACUGUAUUUACCCAAUGCCUGUACCCCCAUUGUAUCUAGGAAGUAACUAACUUGCUUUUGAUUUUACAGGCUCAUAGGCAGAAGGGACUUGCCUUGUCUCAGAUGAGACAUUGGACUGUGGACUUUUGAGUUAAUGCUGAAAUGACUUAAGACUUGUGGGGAUUGUUGGGAAGGCAUAAUUGGUUUUGAAAUGUGAGGACAUGAGAUUUAGAAGAGACCAGGGGUGGAAUGAUAUAGUUUGGCUGUGUCUCCACCCAAAUCUCAUCUUGAAUUGUAACUCCCACAAUUCCAUGUCAUGAGAGGAACCCAGUGGGAGGUGAUUGACUUAUGGGAGCAGUUCUUUCCUGUGCUGUUCUUGUAAUAGUGAAUGCGUCUCAAGAGAUCUGAUGGUUUUAAAAAUGGGAGUUUCCCUGAACAACCUCUCUUGUUUGCGUGCUGCCAUCCAUGUGAGAUAUGACUUGCUCAUCCUUGCCUUCCACCAUGAUUGUGAGGCCUCCCCAGCCAUGUGAAAUGUAAGUCCAUUAAACCUCUUUUUCUUCCCAGUCUUGGGUAUGUCUUUAUCAGCAGGGUGAAAACAGAGUAAUACAGUUGGGUUUUUUUUACUGUGAAAUUUAUGAAUUGUAUAUGUACUUUGGAUAAAAGUCCGUUAUGAUCUAUUUGAUUUGCAAACAAUUUUCUCCCAGCCUGUGGUUUGUCUUAUCAUUCACUUAACAUUUUAUUUCACAAAGCAAAAAUUUUUAAAAAGUCCAAUUCUACCAAUUUCUAAUUUUAUGGAUUGUGCUUUUGGUGUAUCUAAAAUUCCAUUACCAAAGCCAAGAUCACACAGAUUUUUUCCUGAUGUUUUUCAAAAAGUUUCUUACUUUUGCAUUUUAACUUUAGGCCCAUGAUCCAUUUUGAGUUAAUUUUUGAGUAAGAUGUAAGGUCUGUGUCUAUGCUCUCUCUCUCUCUCUUUUUUUUUGCAUAUGGAUGUUCAAUUUUUCCAUCAACAUUUAUUGAAAAGAGAAUUCUUUCUUCAUUGAAUUGCCUUUGUAUUUUUGUAAAAAAUCAGUUGAUUAUAUUAGUGUGGUUCUAUUUCUGAGCUCUGUAUUCCAUUUUAUUUAUCAGUGUACUUGAUUGUGAUAGCUCUAUACUUAUGCUUGAAAUCAGGUAAUGUGAGUCCUUCACUUUUUUUUUUUCCAGAGUUGGGCUGGCUGUUUUAAAUCCUCUGUUCUUCAAUAUAAAUUAUAGAAUAAAUUAGCUGAUAUCUACAAAAAAGAUUGCUGGGAUUUUGAUUAAGAUUGGAUUGAAUCUAUACAUCGAAUUACAAAUAACUGAUAUCUUUACAAUACUGAAUGUUCCAAUGCAUGCAUAUGAAAUUCAUUUAUUUAUUUUUUUUUACUUCUUUCUUCCCUGUUUUGAGGCUUUCUGUGUAUAGAUUCUGUAAAUAUUUUGUUAGAUUUAUACUUUUCUGAUGCUACUGUAAAUGUUUUUUGUUGUUGUAGUUUAAUUUCAAAGUCUAGUAGUUCGUUGAUGGCAAACAGAAAGGCAGUUUGCUUUUAUAUAUUGACCUUGUAUCCUGCAGUGUUGCAGGAUACAUGCCUAUUGGUGCCAGGAAGUUUUCUUUUCUUUUUUUUUUUUUUUUUUUUUGUAGAUUCUUAGGAAUUUUCUAUAUAGACAAUGAUGUCAUCUGUAAGUAUAGACAGUUUUAUUUCUUGCCUUCCAAUCUGUAUAAACUUUUUUUGAGACGGAGUUUCACUCUUGUCACCAGACUGGAGUGCAAUGGCGCAAUCUGGGCUCACUGAAACCUCCACCUCCUGGGUUCAAGUGACUCUCCUGCUUCAGCUUCCCGAGUAGCUGGGAUUACAGGUGUG